UCGCACUGGAAACUGGGGGACUUGAGUGCAGAAGAGGAGAGUGGAAUUCCACGUGUAGCGGUGAAAUGCGUAGAUAUGUGGAGGAACACCAGUGGCGAAGGGGACUCUCUGGGCUGUAACUGACGCUGAGGCGCGAAAGCGUGGGGAGCAACCAGGAUUAGAUACCCUGGUAGUCCACCCGUAAACGAUGAAUGCUAGGUGUUAGGGGUUUCGAUACCCUUGGUGCCGAAGUUAACACAUUAAGCAUUCCGCCUGGGGAGUACGGUCGCAAGACUGAAACUCAAAGGAAUUGACGGGGACCGGCCCAACCAGUGGAGUAUGUGGUUUAAUUSGAAGCAACGCGAAGACCCUUACCAAGUCUUGACAUCCUUCUGAAUCCUCUAGAGAUAGAGGCGCCCUUCGGGACAGAGGUGACAGGUGGUGCAUGGUUGUCGUCAGCUCGUGUCGUGAGAUGUUGGGUUAAGUCCCGCAACGAGCCCAACCCUUGAUUUUAGUUGCCACCACUUUGGGUGGGCACUCUAGAAUGACUGCCGGUGACAAACCGGAGGAAGGCGGGGAUGACGUCAAAUCAUCAUGCCCCUUAUGACUUGGGCUACACACGUACUACAAUGGCUGGUACAACGGGAAGCGAAGCCGCGAGGUGGAGCCAAUCCUAUAAAAGCCAGUCUCAGUUCGGAUUGCAGGCUGCAACUCGCCUGCAUGAAGUCGGAAUUGCUAGUAAUCGCGGAUCAGCAUGCCGCGGUGAAUACGUUCCCGGGUCUUGUACACACCGCCCGUCACACCACGAGAGUUUACAACACCCGAAGUCGGUGGGGUAACCCG
rnacentral:rRNA from 1 species